GUGGGGAAUAUUGCACAAUGGGGGAAACCCUGAUGCAGCGACGCCGCGUGGAGGAAGAAGGUCUUCGGAUUGUAAACUCCUGUUGUUGGGGAAGAUAAUGACGGUACCCAACAAGGAAGUGACGGCUAACUACGUGCCAGCAGCCGCGGUAAAACGUAGGUCACAAGCGUUGUCCGGAAUUACUGGGUGUAAAGGGAGCGCAGGCGGGAAGACCAGUUGGAAGUGAAAUCCAUGGGCUCAACCCAUGAACUGCUUUCAAAACUGUUUUUCUUGAGUAGUGCAGAGGUAGAUGGAAUUCCCGGUGUAGCGGUGGAAUGCGUAGAUAUCGGGAGGAACACCAGUGGCGAAGGCGGUCUACUGGGCACCAACUGACGCUGAGGCUCGAAAGCAUGGGUAGCAAACAGGAUUAGAUACCCGGGUAGUCC
rnacentral:rRNA from 1 species